GUGAAUCAUCAAAUCUUUGAACGCAAAUUGCGCCUUUUUCGGUUGGCAUGUCUGUUUGAGGUUACCAUUUAACAAAUAUUGUGCAGCGUGUUUUGUUGCACACGUUGAUGAGCUUUCCAAGAAUUUUAAAUUUUUGGUUGCGCAUAAUGAACAGCGAGAAAGUUUUUUUCAGUUCGUGUGUAGUAAAAUCUUUGCUUGUGUUCUGAAAAAACAUAAUCGCGCAAUGGGUGUGGCUAUUUCUUUU
rnacentral:misc_RNA from 1 species